UGAGCCAUGGCUCAGUGGUAGAGCAUCUGCCUUGCACGCAGAAGGUCCCAGUUUCAAUCCCUGGUGUCUCUA